rnacentral:lncRNA from 1 species
CCCGUUAUCUUUAAGGAUAGUUUCUCAGCGGGAGGCUGGACUAUCUGGGUAACGGUUUGAUUGAGUUGUUUAGUAUUGAUAUUAUUGUUUAGUUAUUAGUACUCAGGGUCUUAGGCCAUAUAGGCCGGACUACUGGUACUAUUGGUUUGUGUUGUAGAGUCGAGUGUCUGGUUAGUGUCUAGAACUUUAUCUUUAGGUUAGGUUCUAGAUUGAGUUUGUGUUGUGUGAGUGUGCCGACAGUAUGUGCGUAACCCGCCCAUACUAGGCUUGUUUGGGGUUGAUUAGUGUUUCCU